CCCCUAACUUAAAUAUAAUUCCACUACUAUAUAAAGUCCGGCGCAGAUUGAAGACUUGCAGUUGCAGAGGGAAGCUCAUGGAUGGAUGAUAAUAUUUCGCUUUCACCCAAUACCCUUUGCAGUUCGAAAGUGGAAGCUUUUUCACAAGCACUUGGAUAGGAAUUGGAAGAGCUUCCACUUUCGAUUGCAAAGGUAAUUGAGUAGAGCUGCUGUCUAUGAUGAUUGGAUUCAUAUGAAGAUCGUCAAGGUGAAAAGGUUAAUUAGAUUGGAUAUGCAGUUGAUGAGUGAUUAAAUCCUGAUUAAGAUAAGGAGAUAACAUCUCCAUGAUUGUAUCUUUGUUAUCAAAACACCACCACUCACUGAUGUAAUCUGCCGUCUCAUCCGGAUUGUCUGUUCAUGAAAAUCUAGAUCUCUAUGUCCAUCUCAGUUUCUGGCAACUUAUCCUACAUUUCUGCCGUUAUAUUUUCCAAUGACAUGAGGCUUAAGUCUCUCCGGUGAAUGGUUUAAUCGCUCCUCAGUCUCUUGUUGGGAAAAUUUCAGGGCAUUGUCCUAGGGAAGAACAUAUGUUGAGCUCCUUCAGCUCUUAUUAUUGGGAAGAUGAUCCUCGAUGCAACCUAAACAAACAAGAACAAUGUCAAGCAGGAAAAAAAAAUAGAAACUAUAUCUGCAUAUAUAUGCAUUAACAUAAGCAGAAUUUAAUGAAGGUCAAUCGAAAACUGUAACUCAUAUUUAGAAGUGUAGUUAGCUAUACAUACUGAGAUCAUUCUAACCCCAGUCCACAUGCGUGUAGCUGAAGGGAAUGGAAAUACCAACCGACCGACACCAUAAGUAGCCACAGCAAGGAAGUGGACAACCAAGCUCAGUGGGUGAGGGUUUAGACCUGAGAGUAAAGCAAUCGGACCACUCGAAAAUACACCGCCAAGGUUCAAAUAGUCAAAACAUGCUUGACGAAUUUCACUUUGUGCUGAAUCAUGUGAUGCACUAAACACCUUGUAUAAGGCUCCUGCUAAUGUAUUUAUGGUAGAUGCCACCGGCUAGACAAUAAUGAAAUGCAUAAAUUGUCAAUA